CUCCGCCCAUAUUUGUUUUCGCCGCCUUUGACAUUUUGAUCCGAGCCAGCAGGGGGCAGUUUGCGUUGAAAUAAACAGAACGGUGGCAACUGCAGCAGCAGAGUAAUAACGCUAUUCCACGUUGAUUGCAUGAGGUGAGUAAAAGUGGUUGUGUAAAUAUCUUAUAAUAUUAAAUGCGAUGUUCGAUCAUUUAUUUAUCCAUGGUACGUUCAAUUUGAAUAAUUAUUGUUAAUAAUUGUUAUAAAUUGCUCAUUUUAUUGUUCUUUGUGGAUUGUAACAGUACACUCUGUACAUGGCUUUAGUUCUUAGGUUUGAUUUUACAGAGGUAUGCCAUUACAUUUGUCAAGUUAUUUGAACAGACAUGCAUGAUUAUUGUGUGUAUAUUAUUAUUAUUAUUUUUCAGGAUGACAUGAUCAGGAGGUGGUGGUGUUCUGUUCUCCUGGACAGCUUCACUCCGCAAAUAGCUCAACCACUGAGGGGAGGAACUUCACCAUUCAAAAGACAGUGUCUUCAGGCAGAGUCCAGCAAAGCAGCUUCCCCUGGAAAUCCUCAGGGAAGUUAUUUUGUCAGCGGGUGACUCUGCAUAUUUGACUCUUUCUCUGGUUUGCAGAUGGUUUAGGGAUGUGGUCACUCAAGAAGUUUUCCGGAAAGCAGCACACUUUGCCUGGCUAGACAUUGUGGCCAACUGGAAGAAUUGUCCUCCUGUCUACCAGAACGAGUUCAGACGGAUGAACAGCAUCAGGGAAUGCUUGCAGUGCAGAGCCCUUUUCAAGUUUAACCCACCAGGGUACAGGGAAGAGGACGGCGUGGUGAUCUUCUGGG